GUAAUUUAUACAUCAGAUGAUUCUGGCAUUGGCUCCUGUAAUGACUUUGCCACCUGAUUUUCAAAGACAACAUCAGAUGGGAGAUGACUUCAUCUACAGACUGAAAGUGAAGAAUCCCAGACUGAAAGUGAAGAAUCCCUGACUGAAAGUGAAAAAUCCCAGACUGAAAGUGAAGAAUACCAAUGUGAUCAUGUCUAUGUCAUUGUCUUUCAAUUGUGCUGAGUUAGAAAAACAUACAAAGACACGUUCACACUAUGGUAUUUCACAAUCCUCUCUUUUGAAAAUGAUGAAUAGGACACCUAAUGAAGAUAAACUGAUAUUUU